rnacentral:lncRNA from 1 species
AUAUGGGCGGGUUCCCAACAGUGGUAUCAGAGCCUAGGCUUCGUAGAUUAAGGUUAGAAUUAAUUAUUAACAGGCAUGAUAGAUCUGAAAUUUAAAAGGAUAUGUAUACUGAAAUUUUCCGCAUGCAGAAUUUUUCAGGGUUGCUGAUUUUUGCAUGCUGAUUUUUAUGUGAUAAAUUGAUGAUUCUAAUUGCAUUGUUAAUGGGAUUACAAAGUUUAGAAUCAUGUUUAGCAUGAUCAGCAACCCAUGUCAUAAGAUAAUCAAUUAGAUUUCAGAUCUGAAAAUUAUAAUUGUUGCAUGUGGUGAUGAUCAUUGGAUUCAAACCCUUUUGGUAUCAAUUGUAAAGACCUGCGAUGUGAUCUGCAAUGUCAUGUAAUUUUUCAGAUGCUUGCAUGCAUCUUAUUUGAUGUUUUGAGAGAUCUGCGUGCCUCCUAAAAGGAGAUGUAAUUUAUUAUUAAAUAUCUGGUUGUAUUUCUGUGAUGUGAUGUACGUCAACGAUCAAGUCAAAGACAGUACAUGAGAUGAACGGCGAAUGUGAGCGGUUGAUGGCGAUUGGAUCAAGAGUUGAUCAAGGAUCGAAUCAAGAAGGCUCGGGACCAAUUCAAGAAUUGAAGACCAAUUGAUCGAUUGACGUGCAUGUGCUUGUAAUAUGACCUAAUUAGAAUCCAUGUUCAUCACCUAUUUAAAAUUCAGCUUUUAUUUAUUGCUGCAAUUAUAACUGCCUGUGAUGUGCUAUUUGCAUGUGAUGCGAAUGUGAGCGGGGUAGAUAGGUUUACAUGUGAUGCAAACUAAUAGACCAAUCCAAAUGAGACUUAAACUAAAACCUCCUCAAUCAAGUCGAGAGUGAACCAACAUGAGUGAGUCAUAUUAGAUUAAUUGAUCUAAUUGGUGUCUAGGAAAGCAUGAAAGGUGGUUACUUAAUUAGGACCUUACUCUCUGAGUAAGGGGAGCCUCCUACCUGCUUACCUGGCCAAUUGUUCGAUUACCUCUUAUGAAGAGCUCAAAUUGCAAACACUAAGACCUGAUUGACCGAUAUUAAGUCCAUAGGUCUUCCACCGUAGUAGAGCUGCUAAGGUCUUUCUGAUGUUGAUUUGUCUCGACUGGACACAGUGGGCAAGUUGCAUCGAGGGACUGGACCUCUCUAUAGACAUGAGAUGUUGUAGGGUAAAGGUGGGGUUGGGCACCAAUAACUGUUAGGUGAGGACCCAAUGACAACUUUAUUUCUACGGUUAUAUGGUGGGUCUGACUUAACUAAGGAAUGGGACCAAUAACUGUUAGGUGAGGUCUUCAUGACUUAGAGACCAAGUAGCACUGCAACAUGCUUGAGAAGCAUUGUACAAGAGUUGUACACUCAUCUAUUUAUGUGUCACCAAUAACUGUUAGGUGAGGUGGCAUGUAAAUCGGUGGGACCGCAGUACCCACUAGAAACCCUAGUCGUGUAGGAUUUUCGAUUUCCUACCAGAGGAGUGUGAGGAAUUCGAGAAAAUAGUGGGAGGUACAUUUGUUCUAAAAGACCCUAGAACAAAUUAGGAUCAAGUACAAAAUUCUAACUAGAAUCUUU